rnacentral:lncRNA from 1 species
GUGAGUCAGCAGAGCCCCCGGGGUACCCUAAACCCGGGGCUGCGCCUGGGGGCUGAGCCUGGGGGCCCCGUGGGGAAACUCUCCUGCUCGAGCAGGCGCAACUCAGUUCCUCCCUGACCCUGACCAACCUCCAUCCGCUCGCCCUCGUGACGCCAGAGUUGGCCACUCCGAAUGCACUCGCGUGUGGCCCUGCCUGGUCUGCUGCGACUUCCUCCCCAGCUGGGGACGCACUUGACAGAUUCCUGGGUGUUGCGUGUUUAGCCAUCUCUGUAACCCCAGGGCUGGAAUCUCCUUAGCUGGUGAGCGGAGAAGUGAUUAAAACACCCUUAACUGGGCUGGGGAUUUAGCUCAGUGGUUUCGCCGCCUGCUGCGCAAGCAGUGACCUGAGUUCAAUCCCCGGUACCAAAAAAUAAAAAAAUAAAAAAUAAAACACCCCUAAUUAAGGACAACUAUAGCCCUCAAAAAUUAGAGGCUCAUAGCCGGGUAUGGUGGCAACUACACAGGAGGCUGAGGCAGGAGGAUCCCGUGAGUUCAAGGCCAGCCUGAACUACUGUGUCUCCAACAAAGCAAAAACAGAAAGAGAAGCAGUUCCAAGAGAGAUGGCACUAUCUCUGCUCCUCCACCCCACCCCACAUGCUCUUCCUGAACCUCGGAGCAGAAGUUCACAGCACCACCUUCCCCCAGAUUAAUUUGCCAAGCCAGAAAUGCAAAGGACACGCCUCCUCCCCCAUCCCGACCGCCGUCUCCACCGUCUCUACCGUUCAGUCUGCAGACUGCACUGAGCAGGCGCCGGGAAUGAGCCGUGUGAGGAAAACGGGCUGAGUGUGGCUCGAGACAAAGGGUUUCAGUGAGACAGGCUGUGUGACAGAAGCCUCGGAGAGUGUAGGGAAACGAAUGAAGGACACAGAAGGAGAAGCCCUGGGGAAGGGACAUCGGUUAGAAUUCUUCUGGGGUCAAAGGGGAGGACAGGUGAUGGAAAGAAAGGGAAGAUUCUCUGAAAAAUAAUUUGGAAAAAUUCCUUUAAGUCCAGCAGCAGGAUCCUGGUUAAAUAAAUUAUGUCACUCUACAGAAGAGUGUGAAGCUAUUUAAAAUGAUGCCGCAGAAGGACAGUUAGCGACAUGCACAGAUUCAGGGCAGAACACAACACACUGGCAUUUCUUGCUCAAGGAGAAUAUGAGCCUUUAAUUAGAGCUUGCUUUUCCUGGCAAAGACAGUAUGUAUUAAAAACCUUUUACCCCAAACACACGUUUAAGGAGACAAAGAACUACCUGCUUCCAGGCCAGGGAUUUUAGCUCAGUGGCGCCACCUGCUUUGCAAGCGCAAAGUUCCUGAGUUCGAUCCCCAGUCCCCCCUCAAAAAAAGAACUGCGUGCUUCCUCACAGGAACACAUCCUGGACAACCACAAAGUCAAUCAUUCAGAGAUGUCAAAACUGGGCGUGGUGGCCCCCACCUGUGAUCCCAUCACUGGGGAGGCUGAGGCAGGAGGAUUGCCAUGAGUGCAAGGC